rnacentral:rRNA from 1 species
AGAACGAACGCUGGCGGCAGGCCUAACACAUGCAAGUCGAACGCUCGUAGCAAUACGAGAGUGGCAGACGGGUGAGUAACACGUGGGAACCUUCCCUAUGGUUCGGAAUAGCUCAGGGAAACUUGGGGUAAUACCGGAUAAGCCCUUCGGGGGAAAGAUUUAUCGCCAUUGGAUGGGCCCGCGUCGGAUUAGCUAGUUGGUGAGGUAACGGCUCACCAAGGCAACGAUCCGUAGCUGGUCUGAGAGGAUGAUCAGCCACACUGGGACUGAGACACGGCCCAGACUCCUACGGGAGGCAGCAGUGGGGAAUAUUGGACAAUGGGCGCAAGCCUGAUCCAGCCAUGCCGCGUGAGUGACGAAGGUCUUCGGAUUGUAAAACUCUUUUGGCGGGUACGAUAAUGACGGUACCCGCAGAAUAAGCCCCGGCUAACUUCGUGCCAGCAGCCGC